rnacentral:rRNA from 1 species
AGAGUUUGAUCCUGGCUCAGGACGAACGCUGGCGGCGUGCUUAACACAUGCAAGUCGAACGGAAAGAGAUGAAAGAGCUUGCUCUUUUAUUAAUUUCAGUGGCAAACGGGUGAGUAACACGUAAACAACCUGCCUUAAGGAUGGGGAUAACAGACGGAAACGACUGCUAAUACCGAAUACGUUCUAAGCAUCGCAUGAUGCAUAGAAGAAAGGGUGGCCUCUACAAGAAAGCUAUCGCCUUAAGAGGGGUUUGCGACUGAUUAGGUAGUUGGUGAGGUAACGGCUCACCAAGCCGACGAUCAGUAGCCGGUCUGAGAGGAUGAACGGCCACACUGGAACUGAGACACGGUCCAGACUCCUACGGGAGGCAGCAGUGGGGAAUCUUCCGCAAUGGACGAAAGUCUGACGGAGCAACGCCGCGUGAACGAAGAAGGUCUUCGGAUUGUAAAGUUCUGUGAUUCGGGACGAAAGGGUUUGUGGUGAAUAAUCAUAGACAUUGACGGUACCGAAAAAGCAAGCCACGGCUAACUACGUGCCAGCAGCCGCGGUAAUACGUAGGUGGCAAGCGUUGUCCGGAAUUAUUGGGCGUAAAGCGCGCGCAGGCGGCUUCUUAAGUCCAUCUUAAAAGCGUGGGGCUCAACCCCAUGAGGGGAUGGAAACUGGGAAGCUGGAGUAUCGAAGAGGAAAGUGGAAUUCCUAGUGUAGCGGUGAAAUGCGUAGAGAUUAGGAAGAACACCGGUGGCGAAGGCGACUUUCUAGACGAAAACUGACGCUGAGGCGCGAAAGCGUGGGGAGCAAACAGGAUUAGAUACCCUGGUAGUCCACGCCGUAAACGAUGGAUACUAGGUGUAGGAGGUAUCGACCCCUCCUGUGCCGGAGUUAACGCAAU